rnacentral:tRNA from 1 species
GCCUAGCUCAGUUGGUAGAGCAUGAGACUCUUAAUCUCAGGGUUGUGGGUUUGAGCCCCACGUUGGGCA